CUAUGUUUAUGGUUUGCUUAAGGAUUAUGCUGUGUCCCCUGAGAUUUUCUUGAGGCAAAGUAGCUAUAUGAGUUGGUGGAAGGAUUAUAAAGCUAUUAAGGGAUCUUCAUACACUUCAAAACUUGCUAAUUUCAUGAAUGAUGCUGGAAAGAUUAAGCUUUAUGGUUUGGGAGCUUAUGAUUUUCCUUGAAGUAUGUUUGCUGCAUAAUAAAAGUGAGUCUUAUAUGUUGUAAUAAAUCAGGAUUUGAUCACAUUCUUAUGCUCUUAUGAACCUUAUUGAUUAAUAAUGGAAGCUUUUUAUCUUUGUUUUUCCANUGAUGAGCUGAAAUCUAAGGUAUUUUCACUUUUUUGUUUUUGAUUGUUUUUUUGAGCUUCUGAUUCUAAUUGAAUUUUGAUCUGAAUUAAAAAAAGUUGUUAGUUUCUUGCAAAUUUAGCGAUUGGUGUGUGAGAUUCUAUGGAGGACUAUCUUAACCAUAGUCACAAAAUUCGCUGGACCCCUGAACCGCAAAUUGGUUCUCCCGUACGGCCGGUUCGGCAGAAUUCAUCAACAAUUCGCAUGAAUCAAGGAACCCAGCGAACCAUUGUUUAAUGAACAAAAACACAGCCUUGAUAGCUAAAAAGAUAAUAAUAAAUAAAUAUUUAAACUAAUUGACAGUGAGUGCAUGUAGAAGUGUCAAAUGGGUUGGCCUGACCAGCCCAGCACGAGUGGGCCAACUACAUAAAUGAGCCACCCCGACCCAAUCAUUUAUAAUUGAAUCCUGCUCUUUAUCAAAAAGGUUUUGCUCGUUUCCAAGUGAAAUUAUCAAAAUACCCCUACGCAUGUUAACUUACGCUAGUAUUUUAGCUGGUGGGAACAAGUGUUAGUUUGGGUAGUAGGAUUGAUUUGGAUCAUGGUCCCCCCUUACCGUCAUUGUACCGACAAUUUUAAUUACUUUUAUAUUCAUGUCACAUCAUCUCUAAGAAAAAGCAGCCUAAUUUACUAUUUUAUUCUCAGUCAUGUAUUGUCACAUGAGAAAUGAUAUUUGUACAAUCAAUUUGUGACAAUUUUCUCUCUCAUACUUACAUUAUCCUUUUAUUCUCUCUCUUCCUUUUUCUCUCUCCAAUGUUUUUAACCAAUGAAAAGAGAAAGAAAAUAAGUUGUCUCAAAUGAUUGUUAAAAUAUCACUACUCUCGUCACAUAUGCAUGUUUCUUCUUCCAAAUUCGUGUCGCAAGCUAGGAUGUCGACACCACUCUCCACACGUGAUUUCCCUGAGCCACGAGAAAAGCAUUAUUAAUUUGUUGUUUGUUAAUGAGUUUGAUGAGUCAAGUUCAUCAUAAAGUUUCUUCUACAACUUCUACAUAUGAAUUUCAUUAGAUUCCAAUAUUCUUAAUUCAAGCUAUCAUAGUGGAUGGUGCGUUUGUUGUUGGGAGAAAUACCUGAAUGCAUUGUCUUUUUGGAAAAAGGAAUGGAGAACACGCUAAGGCCUUACUUUGAGCUGACAAAUGCACUAUGAAAAUGCACUAUCAUGGUAUUCUUCUGACAAUUGCACAAUUAUGUUUUUGCUAAAAUAAGAUUGGAUGGUCAUAAAAAUGUAAAUAAUUUUUACAUUAACAUUGAAUAUUAAUAAAACUUCCUUUGAUUGAAUUGAAUUUAUAAUUUAUAAACUUUAGAAUUUUAAGACUUUGAGGUAAAUUCAUUCAUUUUUAUUAAGUUUAGUUAUUUAACUAUUUUUUAUUAAUAAAUUUUAGGCUUAAUAGCAGUUUUGAUCCUCUAAGUAUCAUAAAGUUGCGAUUUUGGCCCCUAAUAAAGUAAAAUACAGUUCAGCCCCCUAAGUACUGUCCCUUUUGCAAUUGUGCCCCCGGACUAAUUUUGACCAAGUCAAUGUUGAUCUGGACGACGUGUGUAAUUUUUUUUAAUUAUUAAAAAAAAUUAUUUUUUUACACGCAUGGCGUCCACGUUAGCAUUGUCUUGGUCAAAAUUGGCAUGGGCACAAAACUGCAAAAGGGACAGUACUUAGGGGGCUGGAUUGUAUUUUAUUUUGUUAGGGUGUCAAAAUCGCAACUUCCUGAUACUCAGGGGGCCAAAACUGCUAUUAAGCAUAAAUUUUAAAUUAGUUGAUAAUUUUUUCAAAAAAUAGUGUUUUUACCAAAAAAUAAUCAAAUAAAAAUAUUGAUAAUGGGCCAGCCCGACCCCAUUUUUAUGUGGGACAAAUGGGCUUGGGCCAAAAAAACCAAGUGCAUUUUGGACCAUUCUUUUUGGCUCGGCCCAAAAUAUGGGCUAAUGGGCCGGCUUGGCUUUACAGCUCUAGGUGCAUGGUCCUCACCUUGGAAAAGCAAGGUCUCACUGGUCCCACCAAUUCAAUGUUAUCCCAAUGCACAUCAAAGGAUAGUAGUACAAGGCAUAUUUAUAUUGAAGUUUCCCUAGAGUAAGCUCAAUUUUCCAUGUGGGACUAGCAUGUAUAUAUAUUUGACAAACAACACUUGCUAUAUCUCUGUUAGCUAAUCUCUUUUCCCAUGAGUAAAGAUAUUUAAACAAUUUUUUUGCUACAACUUUUGUGACAACCUUGAUGUGCUCUCUUUUCAUUGGUCAAAAACAAUGGAGAGAGAAAAAGGAAGAGAGAGAAUAAGAAGAUAAUGCGAGUAUGAGAGAUAAAGUUGUACAAAAAUGGUUGUACAAAUAUCAUUUCUCUUUUCUCACCUGGGCUACUAUUUUUUACUCCUAGCGUACCAAUUAUUAUAUUUGAACGUACCAAUUAUGUAUACCCCUUACAUACCUGAUUUUUUGAAAGUUGUGAACCGCGUACCUGAACCCAUGUCACAUACCAAAUCGAAUUACGAAUUGUGUCACUUUGAUUCUAUCAUUAAAUGAGUCUCACUAUCAUUAAUUAUUUUUAAAAAAAAUUGUGUCUUUGUCUCUUCAAAUAGAAGAAAUGGAAAAGAGAUUAAAUGAAGAAGAUUUUAACUCGAUCUUAACACUCGAGAGGUCAUGUUCUAAUUUUAAAAAGUUGACCAUAAUAAAAGGAAAGUGUUGUUGGACCCUAGAAAUUAAUUGAAGAUAUUAUAUAUUUACCAAAUGAAGCACCAAAAACUCAAAAUUUGGACCUCAAAAUAUCGAGGUCAUGUGUUGUUAGUCUUCUUGCACACCAUCAUAAUCAGCUCUGAUUAUAUGUAGUUGGGAUACCCUCAAUUCAGACAUUCAGUAUGUCGGUGGUCCUUUUAUCUUUGGUCCGAAAGCACAUACUAAAGCGAUUUAGACAAGGGCGGAGGGACUGGGGUGGCCAAGGGAGGCCAUGGUCCCCCAAUUUUCUUAUAAAUAAUUUUAUACUACUAAUAUAUUGCUAUUUAACUAUAAAUGUCAAUGUGGUUCUCCAUCAUUAGCACUUUCAUUUGAAGUCUUAAGUCUUAUAUUAUAUGAACAUUAAGCCUUUGUCCUUUAUAACUAAAAAAGAGUCAUUUAACUAUGUCAAGUAUAAAAGCAACAAUAGAAUAAAAUAUAAAAAGUUACUCUUUUCACUUUCAUUUUUUCUCCCAGCUAUCCGAAAAUACCAAAAUACUUUCGACAUAGUUAACUAUCAUUCAAGAAACUUUUAAAAUCAAUUAAAUCGAUUUAAAAAGUAAUUAACCUAUCUGAAAAGUGUCGAACGAUAUUUCAAUAUGCCGGAGAGGCGAACGAAAGUUAAAGUCGCUCGACCAACGAUAGUUGCGAAAAUGAGAAAUUUUGAAAGUGACAAGAGUAAAAAAGGGCAACCCGGUGCACUAAAGCUCCCGAAUAUAUAGGGUCCGGGAAGGGGUCCCACCAUUAUUGGUGUAUUGUACGCAACCUUAUCCUGUAUUUUACACAAGAGGUUGUUUCCAGGACUUGAACCCGUGACCUUUCAGUCACAUAACAACAACUUUACUAGUUGCGCAAGGUUACAAGAGUAACUUUCAUAAAAUAAAUCAAGUAAGAAGUAAAUCUAAUUUUUCUAUCUUCUUCCAAUAUUAACUUCAAAUGUAGCUUAAAUUUCUCAAUAUGCAGUACAUUUGAACUUUUGUUGUUUAACCAGAGUAUACAUUUUAAACUUGGUCCCCCCAUUGUUUAAUUUCUGGCUCCGCCCCUGGAUUUAGAUUCUAUGUAGUCGUUUAAUGGUUUGUCUGAUAUUAAUCCAAUGGUCACCAAUACCCUAACUGUGUGAAUGCAAGGAUAUCCCAACUGCAACGGAUCCAUUUCAUUUGUUGUGCAUAGGAGUAAUAAUGAUGAUAUUAUUUUUUUUUAGAGAAAUAAUGAUGAUAUUUGUGUGUUGCUGUUUUCAUUUUUCAAAUCUAGUUCCUUUUCGAGAAACAAGUGAUUCGGAAUUUGCAUAUUUAUGCCUUAAAACAGUGUUUAACAUAAAAAUAUGAAAAGGGCAUACUUUGAAUUCUGUAGAGACUAACUUGUGUAAGCUUAUUUACCGGUGACAUAAGCCCUUGUAAGACUGUUUGAGAGAGCUUAUGUGGAAGCACCUUAUGAUAUGUCCAUAAGUUGUUUUCAGCUUAUUUCCAUAAUCUCUAUUUUAUCUUUUAUUGUUAAAAGUGUUUGAUUAUGUUGUUUAUCCAAACACAGUCAUCUUGUAACAAUAAUGGACAUCUUAUGCACAUUCCUAGCUUCUAGGCAUAUAUUGUUCUUCAUACCUGAAUCCUUAUGCAACAAUCUUAAUGCAGAUUUUAGGUGCAUAUCCAGGAACUCCAUUAAUUGUUACUGGAAAAGGCCUCGGAGGAUCAAUAGCUUCACUCUUCACAAUAUCACUAUUAGACAACAUUGGUUCAACAAAGAAUCGACCACUAUGCAUCACAUUUGGUUCACCUCUUGUUGGUGACAGGAAGUUGCAACGAGCCAUAUCACGUAGUUCGAAUUGGAAUUCUUGCUUUAUUAAUGUUGUUUUUUGCAAUGAUCCACAUCCGAGGCUAUUCAUCACAAACUACAUGCCUUUUGGAACAUUUCUCUUUUGUUCUGAUUCAGGUUCUACUUGUUUUGAGAAUCCCGAAUCAAAUUUGGAAAUAAUAGUGACAUUAAGCAAAAUGCAUGGUCAAAAUCAAGGAUUCAAAUUAGAUGAGUACGGAAGUAUAGUCGAAAAUCUCAGACGUAGAGCAUUUUUUAAGGAUGUUUCUACGCCGGCUGGAGACAGGACUCAUUCAGAUAAACUUGUGAUUGGUAUCAGUUUGCAGUUGCAAGCACUAGGAUUGACACCAAACAUUCUGGUAUGUGAAUAUCUUUUAUCUUUUAGAUCAACUUUUCGUAGUUUAUUGGAGCUUGUUAAUUAAGACCCUGUGAGUUAUUUCUAUAACAAGAGGUAAAAGUAAGAAUGUCAAACUGUUUUCGUGUAAGUUAUGAGAUGUCUUCAUAAACUAUCCUGGAGAGCUUAUGAAAACAAGUGAAAAAUAGCUUAGGAACAUGUCAAGUUUUUAUGUCAGUAAAUAAGUUAAAAUAAAUUAAUCCAAGCAGAAUUUAAAUUGGUUUACGAUUCGUUGCUUAAGUCCUAAUAAGAUUAUGAAUGCUUCUUGACCUCAUUUCUAAAAUUUACUUUGGAUGCAGCAAGAGCUUGACAUUGAUGUCAAUGCUCUAGAAACAAAGAUAAAAAGACUAGAACAAUUUUUAAUCUUUCAAAAGAAGACAUCAUUUGAUCCAUCCAAGAAACUGAAUGAAAUGAGGCGACAUAUGGCGCAACUUGAAUGGUACAGAAAGAAAACAAAAAAUCUUGACAUAGGGUACUAUGACAGCUACAAAAACAAGAACGUAUCAGCUGAUUAUGAAGUUGAUUGGUAUUUAAAAAGCAUCAUAUUUUUUUGGGAAAAGAUGGUUGAAGAAGCUGAUCUGAAGCCUCAAAGAGAAGGCGCUGCAUUUCGUACUCGCUGGAUCUUCGGUGGAACUACAUAUAGAAGAAUGGUUGAACCACUAGCUAUUGCUCAAUACUAUAGAGACGGUGGUAAAGAUUAUAUCAAUAAACAAAGAUCCAAACACUUCAAAGCUUUGGAGGAAUGGUUAGAGGAAGGCCAGACAAAAGCUAAAAUUGAAUCAAAUCGUAUAAAUAGGAAGAAUGUGGAAGUGAUUUUGACUAUAGAUUCUUGCUUUUGGGCACAUGUUGAAGAGGCUAUACUUGCAUGCAAAGAGUUGAAGGUUGUGAAAUACAAAGAAGAGGUAUUGAAUAAAUUGGUUGAAUUUGAAAACUAUGUUUAUGGUUUGCUUAAGGAUUAUGUUGUGUCUCCUGAGAUUUUCUUGAGGCAAAGUAGCUAUAUGAGUUGGUGGAAUAAUUAUAAAGUUGUUAAGGGAUCUUCAUACACUUCAAAACUUGCUAAUUUCAUGAAUGAUGCUGGAAACAUUAAGCUGUAUGGUUUGGGAGGUUAUGACUUUCCUUGAAGUAUGUUUGUUGCAUAAUAAAACUGAGUCUUAUAUGUUGUAAUAAAUCAGGAUUUGAUCACAUUCUUAUGCUCUUAUGAACCUUAUUGAUUAAUAAUGGAAGCUUUUUAUCUUUGUUUUUCCAUUGCAAAUCAAUCCUCUUUCUUAGAGAAUUUGUCGUUCAGGUAAAUAAAUUUCUGUGCUAUUUUUUUGGUGUUAACUCUCCGACUCCUAGGGACCUAGUAAUUCGGAGUUCAAUCAAAAAAUUGUUCAAGCCAGGAAUCAAAUUUGAGUUCUCCCGAAGAAUUCAUCAUUAGAAAAACUCAUUAACCACUUGAGUUUAAUCACUUGAUUAUUCCUGUGCUAUUUAAACAUAACUUACGAAGCAUUUGCACUAACAUUUCUAGUAGGAACCAAAAAGAUAUAGUAACAAAUUGGACUCAAAAUUUCAAUAAAUUGUAAAUUAGCCUAAAAAAUUAAAAUAAAAUAAAAAAAUACAAUUUGGAACCUCAAUAUUCUCAAACAUUUUGGGUGUUUGCAAGCAACAUGCUCAUAAUUUUCUUCCGGCUAUAUAUAUAUAUAUUGAUGGUUAGGCACUGACAUAUGCUAUAUUCUGGCCACUUGAAGUAAAUCACUG
rnacentral:lncRNA from 1 species